CAGCUUACUAGGCUACAACUGACGNUGAAGCACGAAAGCGUGGGGAUCAAACAGGAUUAGAUACCCUGGUAGUCCACGCAGUAAACGAUGAUAACUAGCUGUUUGCGAUACACAGUAAGCGGCACAGCGAAAGCGUUAAGUUAUCCACCUGGGGAGUACGCCGGCAACGGUGAAACUCAAAGGAAUUGACGGGGGCCCGCACAAGCGGAGGAACAUGUGGUUUAAUUCGAUGAUACGCGAGGAACCUUACCUGGGCUUAAAUUGCAGUGGAAUAACGUGGAAACAUGUUAGCCUUCGGGCCGCUGUGAAGGUGCUGCAUGGUUGUCGUCAGCUCGUGCCGUGAGGUGUCGGCUUAAGUGCCAUAACGAGCGCAACCCUCAUCGAUAGUUACUAACAGGUUAAGCUGAGGACUCUAUCGAGACUGCCGACGUAAGUCGUGAGGAAGGUGGGGAUGACGUCAAAUCAGCACGGCCCUUACGUCCAGGGCUACACACGUGUUACAAUGGGGGGUACAAAGGGCAGCUACCUGGCGACAGGAUGCUAAUCUCAAAAACCUCUCUCAGUUCGGAUUGGAGUCUGCAACCCGACUCCAUGAAGCUGGAUUCGCUAGUAAUCGCGCAUCAGCCACGGCGCGGUGAAUACGUUCCCGGGCCUUGUACACACCGCCCGUCAAGCCAUGGGAGCCGGGGGGACCUGAAGUAUGCAACCGUAAGGAGCGUCCUAGGGUAAAACUGGUGACUGGGGCU
rnacentral:rRNA from 1 species